ACUGUGUGACUGAAAGGGCUUUAUGGCGGCGGAAUUACGUCCGCCGUCUGCGCACUGACGCCUUCCCAUUGGUCACAGAGGGGAUGAUGACUAUUCUGUUUCCUCGCGUUAUCAUUGGUGGACCCCAUCUCUGUUUAGCUGUUCUUCUUCCUGGAACAGCAUCCUGUGGUCAAGGAAGCUGAAGCUUUCCUGGUAACAUCAUCCUCGCAGCCAGGCAUUCACCUCCAGGAUGCAUCUGUCUCUGCCUGGACCCCACUAGGGUGACCAGACAGCAAGUGUGAAAAAUCAGGACAGAGGUGGGGGAUAAUAGAAGCCUAUAUAAGAAAAAGACCCAAAAAUCGGGACUGUCCCUGUAAAAUCGGGACAUAUGGUCACCCUAGCCCCUACCCUUGACUGGAAAGACUGAAGAGAACACCACCUGUGCUCCCAGCUCCUUCACCCUUACUCCCAGAGCCCUGUAGUCACUUCUGAUCUGCUGAGGGUCAUACCUCGCAGUAUCAUUAGUGCCCACGUGGAUGAGCAGCAUGGAGUAGUAGUCAGAGGGCCGGAUGAUCCUCAACACUCCCUCUGUAACCUCUCAGAAUGGGCCCCUGGCAGACAGCAUACCUCCCGGGAUGCCAUGUCAGGGCAACAGAUGGGUGCCUCCAUCCCCCUCAGAAGAGUCUCCAACCACCUCUACCCUACGUUUCCUCCUGGGAGUGGUGGCUGUGAUCCUCCCAGCCUCGGUGGGGUACAUGGCUUCUCUUCUCUUCUUCAACGUUUGGGGAUGAUUCCUCAUCAUUCAUUGUGAUGGCAGCAUAACAGUUCUCCACCAUAGUGGGUGGGUUGGGAGUAGGGGUGGAGCACUGCCUGCUGCCAGGAGUAACCAGCAGCUAGUGUCCUCCCUGUAUCACAGUGUUAUCCUCCUCCCCUGGGGGCGUGACAGCAAUCCUAUCUAGCUGGAUAGCGUCCUCAGCCUAGGAAGUCUCCAUAUGAAUACUGUCAAUGGAUUCCUCUUGUGCACAGAUGCUCCUCAGUCUAGCCACCUCCUCCUGUAGCUCUCCCAUCUGCUUCCGGAGAGAUUCCACCAGCAGGCACCUUUCACACUGGAUGGUCCCCCCCAGCCUGGUUUUCUGUGAGUGAGAAAUGCAGGCCACAGUUUCUGCAAAUCCACACCAGGAUCUGGAUAGAGGCAUUCGUGGUUAGGUUCUGUCUGGAUACAGCAGGGCUGGUGCAACCAUUUAGGCAAACUAGGCGGCCGCCUAGGGCGCCUAACGGUUUGGGGCGCCUAAAAGCCCCCUCAGACUAGCAUGGCUGCUACUCUGAAACCUGUCAGAAGCAAAGGAGAACACGUUUAGUAAGCAGAUGAGGGAGGCUGCUCCAGCCAGUGUAGAAGGAAGCCCUCACCCGCCCACUCUGUUAGGAGGUGGCCAGUGCCAGUAAGCAGAGAAGGAGGUCACCUGGUAAGGAGCACAAAGGAGGAAGAAGGAAAUGAUGAUGAGGGAGAUGAAGCUGUAGAUUUGCCUCUUUGUCUCCCGCUCCAGUGAUGGCACCUGCCUGAGCUUGUGCAGGACCCGGAGGUAGAAGAAGCCCAUGAAGAAGCAGGGUAGGAAGAAGGACAAAGCCAUGGUGGCUAUCUUAAAACAUGCAUAUCUCUACCCACAGACUUGAACUGAAAUAGCAGAAGGGGUGAAUUACAAUUGAUUUAAUCAUUUUGAAGAAGGUUUGUGUGAAGAACCAGCCGAAGGGUCCUUUGAAAAUCCCAGCCUAACGUGACUGGUGCUGUAUAGGUCUACUUGAGAGUCACUUUUUUAUGCAGCCAAGGAUUGCAUUAGCCCUUUUGGCCAUAGCAUCACUCAUAUUCAGCUGGUCUACCAUGACCCCUAAAUCUUUUUCAGUCUCACUGCUUCCCAGGAAAGACUCUCCCAUUCUAGAUGACCUUGGGAGCCCAGCCUCCCUCUUUAUCAGCGGCAGAACGGCUGCGGAGAAUUAGAAGGCAGCCAAGAAGAAUUAAGGAGGGCUUCUGAGUGAGGUUAUGAUGCACUCCACUGCCGAGAAACAGGAAUUGAAGGAGUGACAGGACAGCGAGAAGAGGGACUGAAAGGAGAAUGCGGCAUGCCAGAAAGAAGCCACGGAGUGGCUCUUAAACUUUAUGGAGUGCCAAGUGGACACACUCCAGGCAAUACUAACUCUUCAAACCAAGCAGCUCCGCACCCGCCCUCCCCUGCUGCUGCUGUCACAAAACUCUGUCCCAUGUGCCCCCCAGACACUGCUAACCCACUCUUACCAACCUCCUGGCUCCAGUCUCUACCUGCAGCAUUCCACUCCUCCCUCCUCACAGUCCAGCACUGUGGACUUCCCCUACCCGCUGCACUCAACACCCAUCCCUCUACAGUUUGGCCCUACUGAAGUACAAUACCUGUUGCAUUGUACUUCAGUGGAAAACUGGAUAUGAUCCCUGGACAUACCUAAAUCUUUAUCCAUCCUGGGACCCCUCCUCCUCCUGAGACCUUCCUUUCCCCCAUUCCCCUCAGUGCUGAUGUAUUUUUUCAUUUGACUCUGUCCUCUGGUUGUUGUCUUUUAAUAAAAGAAUUGUUGGUUUGAAA